GAUUUCAGACCUUCGGCUCCUAAUACCUCGUCUCGGAGCUGCUGGGUCGAGCUAGCCUGUUCUUUGAGACUAAAAACCAGCAGCUUCGGUGCUUCUUUCCUAAAGGUAGCCAGGGCGACUGACACCGAACGGCUCAGUCUUCUCUCAAAUAAUGGCGUUGGUAAUUCAGCCUCCCCGGCUUGGACUACCCGAUACCUAAAAACUCGCAGCCCGGAGCUUGGAAAUCGGGGAAGGCUGGCGGCACACAACACCCAGGCAGACGCGGGAAACAGACAAGGGCAGAUAAAGCCAAAUGGUCCCCAGGGUUAACCAGAUAUAGGACUCCUCUGUCUUGCUACGAUGGACAGCCACAAGGAUUCACUUGAAUAAAAGAAGCAACAGUGGGUGCCAGGCUGUUUGAAUAUCAACGUCAACAUACAGCACCCUCUGGCCAUACUUUAGCAGUUCCAGGAUGGCCAAGACGACAUCGUUGAUGUAACAGAAACCUGAGGCGUCAGACUUCUUUACAUGAUGCAGUCCCCCAGCCUGGCUCGCAGUGAUGUCCCUCUGAUGUGUAUCAAGUUUCACAGCACUUUCCAAAGAGCCACCAAUAGACAACUGACAACUCAGACAGGCCAUCGAUUACCGGGAAGUCCUCACCAACGCGGAAUCUCUGCAUCUGCUUGCUGUAUUUAGACACAUUAUCUGGGCGAAUAGAGCACAAGAGUUUAAUGUAGUCAUCACUGUGGGACUUGGUCAUCUCCUCAGCGUUGGCUCUGUGAGGACGAUAGAUUUCCAUUUUUUGGUAGAGAUGUAGUUGAGCUGCAAAUCACGAGUCAUGUGGAUUCGGUGAGGCUUCAUUGGGUGGCCCUGUCCAUAAGAUAGUUUCCAACAUCCCUGUUAACAGACGUUCCUCUUGCCCUGAGUCUGUGCCAUCUUUCUCACCACCCAGUGCUCCUGCCAGUCUGAUGUUUUAAUAUUUUUAGAUGGUGAUGCUUUGAGUUUAAAUGGCCUUUGACAAAUUCUAUCCUAAUUUCUAAUUAAGACAAGGAAAGAAAACAAAGAUGGAUAAGGACCAUAAAGUAAUGAAUGGACUGGAAACAGAAGUAAACUUAUUCAACAAUAAAA
rnacentral:lncRNA from 1 species